rnacentral:rRNA from 1 species
UUUAAUGACCAUAUAACCUUGAAAAUGCCCAAUCUCAUUUGAUCUCGGAAGCUAAGCAGGGUUGGGCCUGGUUAGUACUUGGAUUGUGUGUUACAGCACUAGUAAUACCAGUGUUGUGUCCU